CUGAGUUCAGUCAAACUUGUAUGGAUAACGCCCACUACAGCCAAGUUUUCCUGGCUCCCUGGUUUUCUGAUUUAAUUCUGGCCACCUGCAAGGCGCUCCUCCAUCUCCAUUUGUCAAGGAUACUGGGUUUGAUCACCAAGAAGCACAUAGCACUCUGCGAAGCUACAGGCUCCACUUUGUGAAAACAGGUAUAGACAGGAGUUGGCUCUUGUGGUUAAGAAUGAGUCACAAGAUCUGCAGGUGGCAAACUGGAGACCCACGAGAGCUGAUGGGGUAAGUUUCAGUCCAAAAGCAAGGGAAGACCAAUGUUCCAGCUGGAAGCCAGGCAGAGAGAGCUAAUUCUUCCUUACUCUGAUGAAGGCCUGAACAGAACAAUAACACAGAUUGAAGGAGACCCACCUACACUGGGGAGAGCCAUCUUCUUUACACAGUCUCCUGAUUCGAAUGCUAAUCUCAUCCAGAAACACCCUCACAGACACACUCAGAACAAUGUUUAACUAGGUAUCUGGGCACCCUGUGACCCAGUAAAGUUGACGCAUAAAAUCGACCAUCACAACACCUUUAUCUAUGGGCACAAAAAGGAAAUGA